UGGGGAAUAUUGCACAAUGGGGGAAACCCUGAUGCAGCGACGCCGCGUGGAGGAUGACGGCCUUCGGGUUGUAAACUCCUUUUGUCAGGGACAGUGGUGAUGGUACCUGACGAAUAAGCCACGGCUAACUCUGUGCCAGCAGCCGCGGUAAGACAGAGGUGGCGAGCGUUGUUCGGAAUUACUGGGCUUAAAGGGCGCGUAGGCGGUGGUGUAAGUCUGGGGUGGAAUGCUACAGCUCAACUGUAGAGCUGCCUUGGAAACUGCAUUACUUGAGUCGGUGAGGGGAAGGCGGAAUUCCUGGUGUAGCGGUGAAAUGCGUAGAUAUCAGGAGGAAGGUCUGUGGCGAAGGCGGCCUUCUGGCACUUGACUGACGCUGAGGCGCGAAAGCGUGGGGAGCAAACAG
rnacentral:rRNA from 1 species